rnacentral:rRNA from 1 species
UGAGUAACCUGCCCUUAACUCUGGGAUAAGCCUGGGAAACUGGGUCUAAUACCGGAUAUGACCUCCGAUGGCAUCAUCUGGAGGUGGAAAGCUCCGGCGGUCAAGGAUGGGCUCGCGGCCUAUCAGCUUGUUGGUGAGGUAACGGCUCACCAAGGCUUCGGACGGGUAGCCGGCCUGAGAGGGCGACCGGCCACACUGGGACUGAGAUACGGCCCAGACCUCCGUACGGGGAGCAG